UGCGACAAGUUUGGCGAUCGAUAAGCGGGAGGCUCCUCAGAUGGGCAGGCCGACCGUUGCUUCUUCCGUGGCCGCACUUGCUACCUCUUUCCACGAUUUCCUCUCAUUAUUAAACACCAUAUUGUUUUGUUUUGUUCCUUUCAAAUGUCCAGGCUACCAAGAUGACAAUGGUGUCAAAGCAUCUCCUAUUUGCUUUGUCAACCUUCUUCCUAGCGUCGCACCACCACUCAAUGAAGCAAGCAUUGUUGGAGGGGAAGUAAAGGGGCUGUCAAAUGGUGUGGAGCUUGGAUUUGGGGCAGUCGAGAAGGAUGUGGUCGAUGGUUUCUUUUUGUUAGUCACAGAAGACGUAGGAGGUAGGGUGUGACAGCCCUCUUGUGCUCAGCAUGUUCGCCAUCCAGCAGCGUCGGUAUGCCACAAGCUAGGUGAAGUAUUUGCACUUUGAUUGUGCCGAGCUCUUAAUACUAGCUAUUAGUAGCUGUAGAAGAUUUUCAAAAUGUCUUCUACCUACUAUUCCAUCUAUCCAAACCAUUAUUAUUUGGAUUAAGAUAGCAAGUAAAAUUAAAUGGAGGGUUGAAGAAGUUUGAAGUUGUCAUAUUUUCUAUCACAAAUUUUAAACGCUGUAAGUAAUAAAAUUAUUGGUAGCUAUCCCAUUUCUUUCAAAAUGCCCCCGGCAACCGGCGCUUAUGCCUGUCGCCGUCUACUCCGACGGCCGCCUCGUCGCCGCCAUGGUCCGAUCCCUAGCAGGCACCGCCUCUCCCCUCCCUCGAGCUACAUGUUGCCACCACCUCACAAGAAAAAGGACAAUAUAUACCACUCCAUUCGUUGGGUUUCGAUAAAAUGCCAUCCACUACGAUGCAAAAGAUAAAAUGCCACUCAGUAGGUUAUCUUCGGUAUAUUUUUGCCGCUUUGAGAAGGCUUAAGACUAAAAUACCCCUGUUGUGGAGAGAGAGGAAGUGAGAUAGAAGCCGGACGGCGGCCGUGGUCGCCGGUGGCGAGCACGCGUGGGGCGGGCGGUGGAAGCCUGACGGCAGUGGAGAAAGAGGAAGAGAGAAGGGAGCCGGACGACGGCAGUGGUCGCUAGCGGCGAGUGCGCGGGGAGGGGGAGGGACGGUGGAGAGAGAGGAAAGGAGAGGGGAGCCGGACGGCGGCCGUAGUUGCCGGCGGCGAGUACACGGGAAGGUGGGGGAGGGGCAGUGGAGAGAGAGAGAGAGGAAGGGAGGGGGUGCCGUACGGCGGCUGUGGUCGCCGGCGGUGGUCGCGGGGGCAAGGGCAGGGGCGGGCGGCGAGGACAAUGAUGGACGACGGGGAAGAUAGCGACAGGCGCCCGCCGCUUGCCGCUUACUGGCGUCGCGCGCGCGCAUGCACAUGUCCUCCUCCCCUCGUAGCCGCUCGCCGGAGCAGUCCUCCCCUCGUCGCGCACUCGUCGCCGGCGACCACAGCUGCUGUCCGGCUCCCCUCUUCCUUCCUCUUUCUCCCCACAGCAGGGUUAUUUUAGUUUUAAGUCUUCUCGAAGUGGUAAAAUAUCCCCAAGAUAACCUACUGUCAUUUUAUUCUUUACAUCGUAGUGGAUGACAUUUUAUCUAAACCCAGCGAAUAGAGUGGCAUAUUAUCCUUUUUCUCCCACCUCACUGCCUCCCGUAUCCCGAAUCCUACUACCAUCCUCCUUUUCGUCCUAUCCUCUCCCAGACCAUGGGGAUGGAAGCGCCAGAUCUACCGGCCCCUCCGAGGUACGCGCCACUCGUCAAACUCCCCUUUUCUUUUUCCAGUACCCCAAGAUCUGUCACCACCGCCUGCCGCCAAGUUCUAAACAAUGCAGGAUUGAGGUGGAGAACUGCUUCUCCCUCUCUGAAAAUACAGGGUCCAUGGUGGACAUGAUCAAUGUCGCGGCACGAUGUGCCUUUUUACUUUGUGCAAGUGAGAUUUCAUAUGAUGUUGGAGAACGCUACAAUUUCGCGAGCAUUCUGCUUCAUUUCAGAUACACCUGUUGCUCACUGCACAAACUCCUGAAAAUAUUGUACAGCUUAUACCCAAUCUUAUGGCUUGUUUUCAUCUGGAGUGCUCAAGCCUCAAGGGACAUACAUGUAUUACUGCUACUACCACCACUUAACAAGUUACAUACUCAUUUUCAUCUGAAUCACAAUUCUAAUACUUGUUUCUUAUGCCCAGUCAACACUAACUUAAACCAGUUACCAGACUGAACAUUAGAUAACAAAUGUCCCAGCUCCCUUAUCAUACUAGUGGUUAAUCUCUCACACGUCAUAUUAACUUAGAAAGAUGCUUUAAAUGAUAACCAAGUAUUACAACUGGUGCCUGAUACUCUGAUAGAAACCUUUGUUACAUUCUAGGACUCGGAUAAAUGACAUCAUCUAUUAUCAACAAGGGAUAACUCUUCUGUAGUAGGAUAUGGAUAUCCAUGUGAGGUCAUCAGAGUAGCAAGUUGAUGGAUCAUCGCCAUGAUGCUAUUGCUGCAUACGGAAGAUGACCUGAUUUAUCUAUAAAUGAUGCAGUGGUGCUGAUGACCAAUGCCAUCUCUGCAUCAGUCAGGUCCAAGUGAAAGCGAAAAAAAGGCUUUUCAGAAGACAAGAUCAAGUGACUGGACGGUCACAAUGAGAGCAAACUCGGGACUUAUCUUUGCCGUGAUGAUCCUGAUAAUGUGUGGCGCAUCUGCAGCUUCCAGUGACAAUGAUGAGCUGGUGGCACCGUUCGACACAUCCAAUGGCCUGAGAACGCUGUGAACGGCCACUUGGGCUGCUACCCCGGGUGCUUCAGAGACUGUGUUACAAGGAUGCCUGAAUGCUGUUCUGUGAGGAAAUUUGCUGUCAGCAUGGCCGAUCUCCUUCGGUUCACGCAUCAGUAAUUCAUCUAUUUGCGUUCAGAUAACGUUGUGACCAUUUCUUUCAGUAGCAGUAGCUUGCGUCGCUCUCCGCAUGAGUAAUCUUAAGUCUUUGGCAAUUCACUGUAAUAUAUACUAAUAUGCUCUUCCGCGGGGUCCCCCAUUUUAAUUCUUCAAGCCGGCGAGGUGUGUAAUAGAUUGGGAUGGCCUAUGGCCGUGAUCUAAGGGCAGUUGAUGUUUGUGAAUUCAGACUGUUCCUGUCGAUGUCAUGGAACGCAUUGUGGACU